UACGUAGGGUCCAAGCGUUAUCCGGAAUCACUGGGCGUAAAGCGUGCGUAGGUGGUAUGCUUAAGUGAGUUGUUAAAUCGUGGGGCUCAACCCUGUCGAUGCAAUUCAUACUGGGCGUCUAGAGGACGGCAGAGGCAAGUGGAAUUGGUAGUGUAGCAGUGAAAUGCGUAGAUAUUACCAGGAACACCAAUGGCGAAGGCAGCUUGCUGGGCCACUCCAUGACACUGAGGUACGAAAGCGUGGGGAGCGAACAGG
rnacentral:rRNA from 1 species